rnacentral:rRNA from 1 species
GACGAACGCUGGCGGCGUGCCUAAUACAUGCAAGUCGAGCGGACUUUCAAGAAGCUUGCUUUUUGAAAGUUAGCGGCUGACGGGUGAGUAACACGUGGGCAACCUGCCUGUAAGACGGGGAUAACUCCGGGAAACCGGGGCUAAUACCGGAUAAUAUCUUUCUUCGCAUGAAGGAAGGUUGAAAGGCGGCGCAAGCUGCCGCUUGCAGAUGGGCCCGCGGCGCAUUAGCUAGUUGGUGAGGUAACGGCUCACCAAGGCGACGAUGCGUAGCCGACCGGAGAGGGUGAUCGGCCACACUGGGACUGGAACACGGCCCAGACUCCUAUGGGAGGCAGCAGUAGGGAAUCUUCCGCAAUGGACGAAAGUCUGACGGAGCAACGCCGCGUGAGCGAAGAAGGUCUUCGGAUCGUAAAGCUCUGUUGUCAGGGAAGAACAAGUACCGUUCGAAUAGGGCGGUACCUUGACGGUACCUGACCAGAAAGCCACGGCUAACUACGUGCCAGCAGCCGCAGUAA